UGAUGAGGAGAGUUUUCUUCUUUUAGAUGAGGCUACGAUCAACCAGUGGAUCCCAAGAGCUGGCCCUAGGUUGAAGUUCUUUAAAAAAUUUAGGGGACUUGUAAGUAGUUAAGAUCAAUGAAGACAUGAGAGGCUCAAUUCUUCAGUUUUCUACACACUGUUAUUAUUUCUGAGUAUUUAAUAGUUUUCCUGUGUGGAACUGUGUUGUGCCACAAUACAGAAGUUGGUCCAGGGUACACUACAUUUCUGGCCAACAUUGAGGGAUUUAAAGAGAUCCAAAGUGGCCUAGAAGGUAUUCUCCUUUUAAGUGAAUUGUAUGUGCCUGCCUGGGUUACAUUUAAGGGAACUGAAUAUAGAGCAGGCAUGACCGUAUUCCUGUCCUAUGAUCCAUAUGGAGAGCCUCAGUUUGGUGUCAUACAAUCAGUUUUACUACUGGAGCAAACAUCACAUACACCAACAAUAAAACUUGUUGUAAAGAAGUGGAAAACACAGUGGUUUGAUAGGCGUUUAUUUGCAUACAGUGUGAUUCCCACUCAAGUUUUAGCAGCUGUAGAUGUGAGAGAGCUGCAUGAUCACCAUCCCAUCCAUGCAGUCAAGUCGCACGGAGAGGAUGAUGACAGUUUAUACAUUUCCCUGCGCUAUAGACUUUUUUAGAUAAUCCGCCGACUGCCACCAGGCGUGUGUGUGUGUGUAUGUAUGACACUUGUAAAUAGUGUUUUGACAGGUUUAUAGAUGUUGAAAAGGCCUAGCUUGACAUUAUCCCCCAAAUUAGUUUAGUUUUCAGCCAUACAUGCUGCGUAAAAUGUCCAUUGCUUGAGGAUGAUCAGUAUUUGACUAAUGGGAUGGGAAGAACUACUGGACUUCUGGGAUGGGAUGACGUGACCGAACUACUGGGAUGUUCUUGAAAUGACUACUGGGAUGUUAUAAGUUGUACUGUAAGUAUUUUUUGGUUUAAUUACUUGUCUAUCUGCUCCAUAUACAGUCGUAGUCACUGCCACAGUUAUGUUUCAGAAGUCACUUGACACCUGCAUGGUCCAAGAAAGCAAACGUGUCACCUUUUACACCAAAAAACAGGGCACUUGAGUGAAGAAUUUCUGAGCUGUUUUGUGUCUGAAACCAUGUGCCCUGUUUUUAGGUUUGUAUUGUAACAAAUGGCGGAGAGUGCAUCCCACUGGUCUCGAACCCGGGUCCCCAAGCCUGCUUCCUAACCACAACACCAAGAGGGGCAGCUCCGCUUGGCAGAGCUGUUAGUUAGCCUCAUAUACCGCCCAGAGUUCGCUACAGUAUAAAUCCUUAGGCAGUGAGAAUGCCAGCCAGUACACAUCUGUCACACCAUGCAGGAGUUUACAUUACUGAUGCUUAGCAAGCUAUUCUAGUUGGCUGCCACUGUUUAUUAUAUUAACCUGGAUUUUCUGCAUAGGUUGAACCUGCUGUUGGGCCUGCUAUCCCACCUACAAUCUCUGAUGUCACACCAACUGCCACUCCUCCAAACCCCAUGGAGGAACAAGCAGCAGCUGUGGUACCAGUGAGUCAGCUGAUACAGACAAUACACAUCAUUCCACAGUUUUUUUCUCAGGAUGUCCGGCAGAUCCUUACAGGCUUACAUGAUGGCAAGCAAAUUGUUGAGGGCCUUGAUGAGGAUAAUGUCAUCACAACUAGCCAGAGACGUCUCCUCGUCCGUAUCUUGGUGUCGUACCUCAUUGAGAAGUUUGGAGAGAAGAAAUAUGGUACACCACAGGACGGAGCCACCGGCCAGCCAUUGGAUUCCUGGAAGAAAGGCUGCUGAACAUCAGGAAGAGGUUGAGAUCAACCAGCAGGUCGUGGAGCACGGCACAGACACCACCGCAAACGCCAGAUGAUGGCGCUCUUGCAAGGGCUCUCAUACCAGAAUGUACCAUAUCAGACGAACGUGCGUCACAGCUUAAAGAAUGGUUGAGAAACAAUUCUCAGCCCCUCAGCCAGAUAGAGACCUACAUGCAGAACACGGCAGGCUACAGGGCCAAGUGGAUUAGGGACAACAAUUGGACCAUCGAUCAGAUCCUCGAAGAGUUCCCUCGCCUAAUGACCAUAGGUAUGUGACUCAAAGUGGAGAAAAUGGUCAAUGAGCUGUAGCAUUCAGGACCUGAACAACUGGAUUAUCUGCAACUGAGUGCUCA